CCUACGGGUGGCUGCAGUGGGGAAUUUUGCGCAAUGCUCGUAACAGUGCCGCCGCGACGCCGCGUGACUGACGCAGGCCUUCGGGUCGUAAAGUUCUUUCGACAGGGGAGCAAAUGCCUAUAAGUAACUGCGUAUUUAUUGACGGUACCUGUAUAAGCAACCCCGGCUAACUCCGUGCCAGCAGCCGCGGUAAUACGGAGGGGGCGAGCGUUAUUCGGAGUGACUGGGCGUAAAGAGCACGUAGGAGGUGAUGUAAGUCAGUCGUCAAAGACUAGAGCUCAACUUUAGUAAGGCUAGAGAUACUAUAAGACUAGAGUAUUAUAGAGGGGUGCAGAAUUCCUGGGGUAGCGGUGAAAUGCGUAGAUAUCAGGAGGAAUACCGUAAGCGAAGGCGGCAAUCUGGCUAGAAACUGACGCUGAGGUGCGAAAGCGUGGGUAGCAAACAGGAUUAGAUACCCGGGUAGUC
rnacentral:rRNA from 1 species